ACACGACUACAUUAGAUACCCGGGUAGUCCUAGCCGUAAACGAUACUCGCUAGGUGUCGGCCACGGUGCGACCGUUGUCGGUGCCGUAGGGAAGCCGUGAAGCGAGCCACCUGGGAAGUACGGCCGCAAGGCUGAAACUUAAAGGAAUUGGCGGGGGAGCACAACAACGGGUGGAGCCUGCGGUUUAAUUGGACUCAACGCCGGGAGGCUCACCGGAUAAGACAGCGGAAUGAUUGCCGGGCUGAAGACCCUGCAUGACCAGCUG
rnacentral:rRNA from 1 species